GAGCUUUCAACAUGUUGUCAACGACGGGCUGCCUCACGGUUGCCUGUCAAGAAGAUGAAUCGAUUUUGAGUGGUUUUUGAUCAGCAAACAAAGUUUAAACUAAAAACACUCAAGGCCAAUUUACUCUAGGUACAAACAUUCUAGGGCAAACGAGUCGUGAGUUCUUUCUAGAUAAUAUCACAUAUUAAAUCAGCGAUGGAACCAGCAGACACCAAAAGAUAGAGAUAUCUGCAUAUUUUUUGGCAUAAGACGAAUAUUAAUAAAGCUUGUUUCAAGAAUCCGAGACUUCUGUAGGACCUGUAUUUCUGGAAGCAUUCCAGUAUUGAAUGCAAAAACAAGGUUUGCUGAUGCACCGAUGGUAGUAAAAAUUUUGCUAGUAGUUGUUCCGUGAAUGCUGUAGUCUCGGGGAGGAGCUUCAACGCCUGCAAAAUAAAUUACUUACUCAGAAAAAAGAAACAACGAAAUUCAGCAUCUGAAAGUUAAUAUCCACUACCACUCUGCCAGUGGAGCUGAUUCUAGGCAUCAAUGGACAUCAGUGAUGUAGAAGUUAAAAAUAUAAUUUAAUAAUAUAGAACCUUUUUUUUUUUUUUUGAGAAGAAUAAUAUAAAACUUUUGUGGUGGGAAGAAUCGAUCGAGAAAGAAGCAUGCAACAUAAAUCUUAGACCUCAUAGUUAUUUAGCUAAACAGAAAUCAGAGGUAAAAACGUAAAAACGACUGCAAACAAAUCAGGAACCAUGAUCAAGACCUCAUAGUGGACAAAGCAUGCUACAUAGUCUCGAAAGAGUAGAUAUAGGGGUAUUUUCAAUUAAAUUUCGUAGUCUAAGGGAAGCAUUUUAAAUGUUCUGUGAUAAAAAGGAAAGCGCUCGACUUUCAAGGGAGCCAAAAAUUGCCUUCUGUUAGAAACCCAACUUAAAUUUGACAAACUUAGUAAUAACAAGGAAAGGAAAUGGCCAUACCAUCUUUUAGAGCCAGAACAAAUGCUGUGACAAUGUACACCGUACUAAAAACUGUUGAAAAUGCCAGCCAUGCUCGUAGAGCUGAUAAAUGGGGUACGGCAAUUGCAAAAAGGAUACACGCGAAGCCAGAAACUGCAAUGCAGUGUGGAAGCUUCAUGCCAGACUCUUCUUGGAAAAGUGCAUAAAGAGCCUGCAUAUAAUGUCAAUAAAAUCAAGGAAUCAGCUCACACCUUAAUAUUUAGUGGUGAGCUAAAUUGACGUCUUCUGUAGUUUGUAUAAAUAAAGAACUACAAUCCAAGAGUUUGAACCUCUUCAUAAGUUACGUGAAAAAUAACUUCAUAGACAACUAUUGGUUCGUUUAUUACAAGAGAACAAAAGCAAGUUACCUUGAGGGCACUGCCGGCUAAAAUGAUGUACCCGACAUUGAUCAUGAAGAGAUUAACAUACUGCAGCGCCCACGUAAGACUAUAGGCUUCGUCACCUACAACACCAGAAAGGAUAUUACAUUCAUAUCACAAUUAAUCUACCUCUUCUCUCUCAGAUCACUAUAUGACUCUUACCAUACAUAAAUCCUGCAAGGUCUCUAUAUCUGAUAUGUCUCCUUCCUCCAUAUUCAUGAAGCUUGGCGACCAACAUAUUUGCAUACAAAGAUAUCGCUGUUGCUAAAAUUAGCCCGACCACACCACCAAUCCAACCCAACGGUACCAUAAUAGUGCCAGAGUAUCCCAACACAUAUGCACUGUUUAUCCCCGUUGUAAGGACAAACGCCACCUGGAACCACGAAUCUACAUGCACGACAUGAAAAAAUAAGCCGGGAACACAUGGAACAAUCGAGUGCAUAACAGAUCACCGAGCUUACUUUUUCAUUACUCGAGCAACUGAAAUUCGAAUUUAGCUUCAAUCAUAUCAAAGGUUAAUGUGCAUCACUCUAUUAGAUGAUCUAACUUCUAAAGCAUCCCACAAUCAAACUGCUAAGAUGAAUACAGUAAAUAAUAAACAGAGAGCAGAAUUCCCAAAUGAAAUGAUCUUCAGCCAAAUUGCAAACAGAAACUACAUCUCUUAUAAUCAAAGCAGAGACUAACUAUCAAAGUACUAAUCAAUUAACAUUAAACAGCUUCAAAAAGGCAUGCAAAACAUCAAUUCCAUCAAGAGAACAAACUAAAGAAUAAACCGCUUUUUAAAUACGAACUAACGCAAAUUGCAUAAAGCAAAAUUCAAGAGCCAUAAGAUAAACAGUGUUAGGAACCGGAAAAAGAAAACAAUAAAAUUCGGAAAGAACCUUGACUAAUUUGAUGGGCGGUGUCAGAAAUGUCAACAAUCACAGAAUCCUUAGAAGAAUAGGCAGAGCCAGAGCCGCCCGAAACGGCGUCGUUUGAUUCCGGAGCAACGACCAUUUCCUCGCCUCUCAAAAGUGCCGAUGUUAUAUCUCCGCCGUCAGCCGUCAGGC